UCGAGGGGCAGCGAGUAGAUUGCUUGCAAUCUACGUCGGCGACCGGCGCACGGGUGCGUAACGCGUAUGCAACCUACCCAUUACAGGGGGAUAACACUGAGAAAUCGGUACUAAUACCCCAUAACAUCCAGGGAGGCAUCUUCUUGGGUUGAAAACUCCGGUGGUAAUGGAUGGGCAUGCGUUGUAUUAGUUAGUUGGUGGGGUAACGGCUCACCAAGACGACGAUACAUAGGGGGACUGAGAGGUUAACCCCCCACAUUGGUACUGAGACACGGACCAAACUCCUACGGGAGGCAGCAGUGAGGAAUAUUGGUCAAUGGACGCAAGUCUGAACCAGCCAUGCCGCGUGCAGGAAGACGGCUCUAUGAGUUGUAAACUGCUUUUGUACGAGGGUAAACGCAGAUACGUGUAUCUGUCUGAAAGUAUCGUACGAAUAAGGAUCGGCUAACUCCGUGCCAGCAGCCGCGGUAAUACGGAGGAUUCAAGCGUUAUCCGGAUUUAUUGGGUUUAAAGGGUGCGUAGGCGGUCGGAUAAGUUAGAGGUGAAAUCCCGGGGCUCAACUUCGGAAUUGCCUCUGAUACUGUUCGGCUAGAGAGUAGUUGCGGUAGGCGGAAUGUAUGGUGUAGCGGUGAAAUGCUUAGAGAUCAUACAGAACACCGAUUGCGAAGGCAGCUUACCAAGCUACUUCUGACGUUGAGGCACGAAAGCGUGGGGAGCAAACAGGAUUAGAUACCCUGGUAGUCCACGCAGUAAACGAUGAUAACUCGUUGUCGGCGAUACAAUGUCGGUGACUAAGCGAAAGCGAUAAGUUAUCCACCUGGGGAGUACGUUCGCAAGAAUGAAACUCAAAGGAA
rnacentral:rRNA from 1 species